UGCACCGAGCGAUGUUAAGAUGCACUGAAUUUAUUGACACUACUCUCACGUGGCCCUUUCGAUCCCUAUACGUGUGUGCUUUACGUCACUGCUCACACAUGUGAGCCGGUAAACGCUAACAAACUAAGAUUACUUCAGUGCAAAGCUGCGCUUCGUCACUCAUCGACAAUUCACGCUGGGGAAGUCCAAUCGACCACAAGCUGGAGGACGAGAUUGAGCAGGGCGAAGACGCCGGCCAGGUAGAGGAGAAGAUGCAAAUUGCUGAGCAGCAGCAGCAGCAGCGACGGAAGUCCAGCCAUAGCAGCUGCAACUGUCCCUGUCACCAUCACUGCUCGACCAAGUGCCCGGCAGAGGAUGUCGAGAGUAUGACUGGGGAGAUCGAGAACGGAGACCUGGCCGUUCGAGACGUCGCGGACCUCUUGCAGCCCCAGUAUUCCGUCAUAACUGGUGGUAAGACGCGUGAUGGAUGCCCCAUUAUUACAUUUCCAGACAACGGCAACUUCCAUAACUUGAGCGAUCUCGACUACCAGCGACUGAUGCUGUACCUCACAUCAGUUCCAACUUUACACGAGGCUGACUUGGGGUUUCACUUAAUCAUCGACAGAAGGAACGACAAGUGGAAUUCUGUGAAAACUGUACUCUUGAAAAUAUCCGCGUUCUUUCCCGGCCUGGUUCACGUGGCGUACGUACUUCGUCCAAUAGGCUUCCUCCAAAAAGCUAUCUCCGAGGUGUCCAACAAGCUCUUCUGCAAAGACUUUAAGUUUCGAGUGAUCGUGCUGGCGGACGUUGUCGAGCUUCACGGCUUCAUCGACAAGGACCAGCUGACCGAGUCUCUUGGGGGCGAUUUGCCUUACUGCCAUCACACUUGGAUAAAGAACCGAAUCAACCUCGAGAAGUUCUCGUCGAUGACGCAGGACGUGUCUUUGGCCCUGGACUCGUACACGCGUCGGCUCACCGAAGUGGAGUUCCCGAACAACACGCUCGCGACGACGACUCUGCUGAGCCAGCAACAGGCAGAGUACAACGAGCUCAAGGAGGAGAUACUCGGCGCGGCUAGCAACGGCGAGGCGCUACUCGACAGCGUCAGACAGCUCACCGGCAAGGGCACCGCUGACCGGCUGGGAAAUGUCGCUGCGGUCGAAAGGUUACUGGUGCAGCUGGAGGAGACGGAACGGACGUUCGACCUAUUCUGGACGCACCACAGCUCUCGGCUGCGACACUGCCUGGCACUACGCCAAUUCGAGCAGGACUUCCGGGAGCUGCAGGCGAGUCUGGACCAGCACUUGAAAACUCUCGACGAGAUGACCGAAGUCGGCGAGACCGUCACUAGGGUCGACCAACUAUUGCGGGAUACCUCCGCCUUCCAGAGAAUAUGCCGGGGAGACAUCGAGCGAGCCGAGGAAGUGAUCACAGCCGGGCAGCGAUUGCUGUCCGGUAGGCACCAAUGUCCGGCCGAGGUCGUCGAGCCCAAAUGCGCCGAAUUGCAGAGGGUUUGCACGAUACUCGGCCAAAGGCUCGAGCGCAGAUUGCACACCCUCAACAAGUGCCGUGAGCUCAUGGAACAAAUAGACAAGGCAAACACGUGGUGUACGCGUGGAAUAGAGUUGUUGGCUGCCCAGAACAGCUCGACACCACCCGACCAGGCUCUGCAGGAGCUCCAGUCGUUGAUCGAGACUGCGGAAGAGUUCCAUCAUCCGACAAGUGUGUUCGAAGACUCGAUAAUACCGGAGACCAAAGCCCUCGUGACACAGGUCUUGCAGAGGAUAGAAGAUGUGUCUCUGAUGUGUGAUAAGAGGAUUAUGGCGCUGAAGCAGCAGCUGAUGAAACCAACGAGGCCUAUACAAACCGUGACUCCAGAGCCAGCUAAGCCCUUACAGCCAGCUCCGCAGUGUAUCAGGCCGGGACGGGUCUUGAAAAAAGCGAAUACGAUGCCAAGGAUGGAAAUGGUUCCACCCAAUGAAGUGGGUGAGAUUUCAUCACCAGAAAGUGAGCCCCGAGAUAUUGAAGCGCUACGCCAGAAGCGUGGCCAUGUGCUCACCGAGUUGCUCGAGACCGAGCGCAUUUACGUAGCAGAGCUUGGCUCGAUAAUUAAGGGCUACAAGCUGGAGAUGAACAACGAGGCCAUGACUCAUCUAGUGCCUGCGGCUCUACUCGGCAAGGCUGACCUUCUCUUUGGAAAUCUCGAGGACAUUUACAUUUUUCAUAGCGACACCUUCUUGAGAGAUCUUGAGAACUGCAUAUCCAACACGGAACUUGUUGCGUUGUGCUUUGUGCAAAGGAGGGAUACAUUCUACAGGCUGUACAGCUACUAUUGCCAGAAUAUACCGCGUUCGGAACGAUUGCGUGAGCAGAUCCAAAACGAGCCGCAAUUCUUCCUCGCUUGUCAGCAAAAGCUUGGCCACAAGCUACCACUUGCAGCUUACCUCCUCAAACCCGUGCAGCGGAUCACCAAGUACCAGCUGCUGCUCAAGGAUUUGCUCAAGUACAGCGACGAGCAGUCAAGCUGCAGUGAGCUCCAAGAGGCCCUCGACUGCAUGCUCGUCGUACUCAAGUGUGUUAAUGACAGCAUGCACCAGACUGCCAUCACCGGCUUUGGGGGUGACUUGAGUGCCCAGGGCGAGCUCCUUCUGCAGGGAUCUUUUAGCGUCUGGAGCAGCAAUAAGAAGGAUCGACUGCUUCGCCUUAAGCCAUCGCAGCGGCACAUUUUUUUGUACGAAAAGUCUGUGAUAUUUUGCAAGCACAGUAAGCCUCAAGCGCACACCAAAGCAACUUACCAUUUCAAGCGGUAUUUAAAAACGUCACAAAUCGGUUUGACGGAGUCUGUUAAAGGCGACACUAGAAGAUUCGAAAUUUGGCUACAGGGUCGUUCGGAGGUUCACACGAUCCAAGCAUCGAGCAUCGAUGUCAAACACGCCUGGGUGCGCCAGAUCAAAGCCGUCCUCAUGUCCCAGCUUGCGGAGCUCAAGGGCAAGCAGAAUACGGCUCUACUUAGCAAAACCGGCCAUAAGUAUGGACCUCUGCGCCAGACAAUCUCAUGGGAUGCCCAUAGCAGCUUGUCGGGCUCGCUGCGGACAUUGUCGGUCGACAGUAACAGUAUGACCUCGCACUUGACAGAUGCCUCAUUGUCGACGGAAAACGACGACGUCGGCUGGAGCUCGGAAAACAGCAAUACGGACGACGAGGACGCCUUUGCCGACGUUGCCGGGCCGGCUCCUAAAUAACAUUCAAACAAGCCAAAGAUAAAUUUUUAAGUUCGACGGAGUCAAACUUCACAUCCCGGAAAAUUUUGACUGGGAACGCCAGAGUCAGAGGGCGGCCGCUACGUGGCGCUGGCCGACUAUUGCGCAAUGGGCCAGUCGGAGGUGACGAUGCG
rnacentral:misc_RNA from 1 species